GGCGGCGCCGCGAGGGGCUGAGGCGGGAGCGCGCGGCCUUGCAACCGCCCAUCCUCCCUCCCCACCCCGCUCCGCCAACACCUUCGGCCGGAAUGCAAGCCCGGAGGCUUGGGGAUGCCCCCAAGUUUCACCUGCCCAGGGGCAAGGUGGGGAGGGAGCCUCCUAUUUCCAUAAAGUGGGCUUUAAGCGCCGACACCUGGGCGGGCCCUGAACCAGCCAGAAGAGCAGUGAUCCCCGGGAGCGCUUAAGGACAAGUGCCUUCAGGGACCCAGACACAUGGUGUUUCCCCUGCCAGGUAUGGCCAAAAUACCCCAGAGGAUUAUUCACUUCAUUCAACACCCAAAGCCUAAAAGGUCAUCGUGGCGAUGAGAAGACUGCUCUCCAGCUGUAAUGUGAGAAGACCUGCACAAACUGCUGUUGAGUGUGAGGAAGCCUGACAGGCUCUGCCACCUGUUCCUAUAUAUGUGUACAGAGAUUAUGUGCCUGGAUUCAUUUCCCACAGGUCAGAGCAGGUAUAUCCAAUAGCUGAAGAAAUUUCCUCAGAAGAAUAGCUGGUAUAUUUACCAUCAUCUUGCCUCACCAUAAUCCUGUAGAAAAAAAUAUGGAAGAGAGUCAGGGAAACAGUUUGAACAGGUAUCCAGAGGAGAGAGAAAAGAAAAAUGGUUCUUAACAGGGCUGGGACUUUCUGUUCCUACUAACUACACGUGACUGUGGGUAACCAAGUAGCACCACUUGUCUUAAUGUGUCGUCAGGUUUCUUCCCUGUUCUUCCCUGUUACCCUGUGCUUAUUCAUGCAACAUUUUGUACCUGCACUGUGCAGUCUUACCCAAAACACUUCCCAAGAGUGCAGUGAACAUUUUCCCAGUUGUUCCUCCUUCCAGUCUUCCUCAAGAAAAUAAACCCUUGCAGGUAAGGCAAUGUCACAGGAUGCUUUACCUUUUCUGUGUCAGCUAGAUAGAAGCCAUUUGUUUCAAACAAAAGAAGGGGGGGCAGUUGUCCAAUGGCAUUAUUAUCCAAACAGGACCUGAGACAGAUUUUGUCAGACCCAGCCUCUUCCCUACACGGUCACACCAACAGACAGGGCUGAAAUGAAAUAGCAUCUCUACUGUACUGUACUGUCACCUGUUGCAAGACCUUUUUUUUUAUUCUGUAUCAGGCAGUUCAUAGCUUUCAUCUUAAAAUAAUGUAAUUGACGGACAAGGCAAAAGGCCAUAUUGCAGGUAGUAACACCAGUGUGUAACACCAGUUUCCUACAGAAUUUCUCUAAGUAGGAGUUAAGAGUGAAGUAUUUCUCACUUAAGCGGAAAAACCCUCAGAAAGGUAGAUGGGUAUGGACAUGUACAAGGAGUAACAGUGACUUUGCCUGGAAUCAUCCAGGGAGACACCUGAUUGGUAAAUCAGCUCAUGCAGGUUCUGCAACUGAAGUUUUUAAUCAUGGGCACUGCAUAUUUAGAAGCUUAAAUAUCUGAACCCAUGGUUUUUAUCUAUAAAAAUCCAUGACAAUGCAAAGUAAUGGCAUUAAACAUUUAGGAAGAAUGAAGAUGCAUAGGUAAGAUAACCCAAACUGCCUUUAACUGGACUAGUGGCUGGUGGUAGAGUUUGGCAAAAUAUUAGCCUUGUAAAAUUGUUCUCAUCCAUUUGACUUCAGUUCCUUUUUUGAGGGUAAGUAAGCAAUUUGUAUUUUUAUAAUCCCUGUUGCAAAGAUGUCAAAAUAAAUUGGAUGCCUCGGUUAGGAAACGUUCAUGAUAGUCCACAAACUUAUCGGGUAGUUUUCCUUCAGAGUUAGCAGGCAGGUAUCCGAAAAUGACUCUUUUGGGAUUUGGUAAAUUGCCCAUUGUCAAGAUAUGGAGGUAAUUACAAAGGUGGCUAGAAGAGUGAACUGGAAGCCAGGCCUGUAUGCAAAGUGGCUUGAAAGACUCAGGUGGAAGACCCUACAUAGAUGCAAAGGAUUAAAAGUACUCUGUCUUAGAGAAAGAGAAAGGGUGAACUAGCUACCUUUCAAACAGAGUUGUCUCAGGAAGACUUACCUGUUCCUGCCUACACUCUACAGAUAGAAGGCUUCCCUCAAAGGAAGAUGCAUUCACUACAACUGCUCUUGGUGAAAAUUCUUGGAAAGGCAGCUAGUCGGUGCCGGAUUUAGGCACAAGCUAAGUAAGCUACAGCUUAGGGCCUCACAUUAUGAGGGGCCUCUAAAUACGAAAAAAAUACAGUAAAACGUCACAAAUCCGGUGUGCUCAGGACUGACCACGUGCUGGAAAUUUGAAAAUGCCAGUUUUUUUAAACCGGCACUGGAGUCAAUCACAGAGCUGGGGAGGCGUGCGGGGAUAGCGGCAGCCAGUCCCGGAGCACCAGCUGCACACAGAGCUUAAUCAAGGUGGUAGCAGCCACAUGCAAGCUUCCUCUGCCACUCCUGAGCUGGCGGGGUGGGGAAUGGCAGCCUGUCCUGAAGUGGCAAGGAAAUAAUACACUUUUUUUGGUAAUGCUAUGUGGCCUCUUAAGCUUGACAUUGCUUAGGGCCCCAGCAUCUCAUAAUCCAGCCCUGCAAUUAGUAGCAUAGGCUAAAACUGUUGUAAGUGCUUGAUACAAGACGCAAUGACCAUUAACAUCAGGGAGCACAUGAUAAACUUAGGAUGGGUGUAUGCAUUUGGAAAGGUGCUUCACUGCUCAUUUCACCUCCUUGGGCACAUCCACACAUGCAAGCACAUGCACUUGCAGCAGCUCAAAUAGAAGUGGUGCAAAUUUGAGCUGGGGCUUUUUGCCUCAGCACACGUGCUCGGACAUGCACUUUGUCGUGGAGCAAAUUGUGCCACUAGGGGCAAAAUAACUCUGCCUGGCUCCUCCUGGAUCUUCAGCUAGGGGGAGCUAAGAGACUGGGGCCAGCACCUGUGCUGUCCCCAGCAGCAUAAAAAGCUGCCCUGUCCUGGCCCCAGCAGUAUAAAAAGCCACCCUGGCAAGUAGCUUAGGGCUACUAGCUCUCAGGAGCAUCUGGGGCCCAGCCAAUUAGUACCUGUGGACACUACCCCUUGUGCCAGCUGGACUGCUGAAGCAGCCCUGACAGUUCCCUGCACCCUCUACCCACUGCAGCAAUCUGGCUGCAACCUGCUGUGCACCUGCCAGACCCGGAUGGGGACUGCAGAGCCAGUAGAGGCAUCUGCCCCUCUGGGCCAGCUGCCAGUGCACUGCAGUUGCAGGGUUGGCAUUUGUGUGGCACUACUGCCAUUUGUGCCCCCUGCCUGGCCAUCUGGGCAGCUAUCACCUGGAAGAUGUUCCAGGUGUGGUGGCCUGCUUUGAACUGUCAAAGCAUGUCCUGGUCCCAUUCGGCCAGCAGGUCAGCCACAGCCAGAUGGGCCCAAGGUGCCAGCUCUGAGCAGGCAGGGUCCUGCCACUGGCCUGCCUAGCAGGCAUUCUGGUGUUCCCUGUUGGAAAACUGAAAAAUCCCUGAUAAAAAAAAUCCCAAAAUCACUCCCUAAAUUACCCCAAAUCCAUGUUCCUCCACAAGUAAAGCAAAAGAUCACUAUAAAGAGUGAGAGAGUGAGACAGAGACAGCGAUCAGUUGGACAAUGUUUUAUUGAUAUAUUUACAGUGUUAAAGCAAAUUUCUUAUCAUAAGAAUAAAGUGAACUCUAAAUACUG